AUUUAAUUAACAACAUUGACAAAGCUCUAACAUAAUUAUUUGACUCUAACAUUUUAUUUCAACAACAGGUGGUGCAAACAAGAACGUUGGCUUGGAUAGUUCAUGAACUCGACGCCUGGCGAAAUUCUUGCCAUGCCUUAGAUGAGAUCACGAUGGAAAGCAAGAGACCAGCUCGGGCGUUAAAGAAGAUAUGGAAGCGGAUGAAGGUCAGAAGACAGAAACCCUGAUUUUAGCGCGUGAUUACACGUAAACGGAGAUACUUACUGACUUUUUUGGAAGAAUCUCAUGUGAUCAGGAAAACUUUAAGUAUGAGUGUGGAGGGGUACAACCCCUAAGGGUGGGAGAUAGACCUAGAAAAAGAUGGGUGGAUUACGUGAAAGAUGACAUGAUAAAGAAGGAAGAGACAACUGAGAUGACGGUAGACAGAAACAAUGGAAGGAGAACAGAGGACGGAAACCCGGUGCGUCAACCCUAAGUAAGUGGGACAAGGACAGGGUGAUGAUCAUGUGACAAUCGUGAGGCGGAUUACUGCAUGAAGAUUAUAAAAUUUGAGAUGUCCGUGUAUAGAAGUCAGAAAUAGAAGGACAGACGGUUUCUACUAGAUACUACGUGAUUAUAAUGAUGAGAUUUGGCCAAGAAUAAAUAGUUGCACUUGCAAAAACCCACUCUCUCGUCCUAUAUACCGUAAUGCUAUGAUCCAGUUGCCUGAAACCACUGUUGAUAAAAGAGGAUACAGUAAAUCGACUGCCAAUCAAAAUAGACUCUGAUUGUCGAACUCUAAUGCCUGCAGUUUAAGGCACACACCCUAUCAAUAAUGCAGCCUAUGACAAAACAGUUAUACUUCUUGGAACUAUAUAGGGCAUUCUUAUCUAAUCAGACUCUCCAACUGUUUUGGCUUUUAUGAGAUAUUUUUAAACAUAAGUUGAACUGACGUCUAUAUUUCAAAUUAAACCCGAAGAUUAUGGCCGAAUUUGCAUCGAACCUGGAAGAAUUUCACAUGUUCACUUUACACCAGUAAAAAAUGCGCCAUAAAAUUUGGAUAAACCAAAAAAAUGUUAUCGAAAUCUGAAUCCAAGCUACUGAA